rnacentral:rRNA from 1 species
ACCCUACUAUGCCUCGCUAUAAAAAAACAAUUAAAUGACAAAUUGUUCGCCAAAUAACUACGAGUGAAAACUUAAAAUUUAAAAGACUUGACGGUACCUCAAACCAACCUAGAGGAGCCUGUCCAAGAACCGAUAACCCACGAUCAACCCGACCCCCCUUAGCCAAACAGUCUAUAUACCGCCGUCGCCAGCCUACCUUGUAAAAGCAAUAAAGUAAGCAAAAUAGCACCAAAGCUAGUACGACAGGUCGAGGUGUAACUAAUAGGGAGGAGCAGGAUGGGCUACAUUUUCUAACCCAGAACAAACGAAUAUACCGUGAAACCGGAAACUGAAGUCGGAUUUAGCAGUAGAAUGAGAACAAAAUACUUAUCCGAAGCAUGCAAUGAGGUGCGUACACACCGCCCGUCAUCCCUGUAAAACAACACAACAAUCCAUAAACCAACAAAAACCCCUAAAGCA